AGUGAAGAAUCCCUAAGAAUUCGCCUGAGAGAAUUGAUAGCAACCGUGGAAUAAUAAUCUUCUGAUGUAGCAAAAGAUGGCCAAAUGUCCAAAGGUAGGUCAUCCACUGAUGGAAUGUGCUGGCCAGAGUCACUGGCGGNNCCGUGUGAGCCAGGCAAGUUUUGUUGGUUUCGCUUAUGCGCAUGGGGAUCCAAAGCUCCCAUGAUGCCAAGAACCUUUAGUACUUCACGUCUAGUCGACCACAUUAGCUCACCAUUCAACAAUUUCAGGAGUAAGCCAAGUAAU
rnacentral:misc_RNA from 1 species